rnacentral:misc_RNA from 1 species
GUAGGUGAACCUGCGGAAGGAUCAUUAACGAGUUUGAAGUGGGUUUGAUGCUGGCCUGCGUAACACCAGGCAUGUGCUCGCCCCGCUCAUCCACUCAACACCUGUGCACCUUUGAGGCAAUUUGCCCUCCGUUAACUUGGAGCCGUUCCCUUGCUUUCACGAGCUGAGGUUGAGCCGGGGCGAAUUGUUUCACUUUACAAACAUACACCACAAAGUUUAGUAGAAUGUAACCGCCGUUAAGGCAAAAACU